GACGAACGCUGGCGGCGUGCUUAACACAUGCAAGUCGAACGGAAAGGCCUCUUUCGGGGGGUACUCGAGUGGCGAACGGGUGAGUAACACGUGAGUAACCUGCCCUUGACUUUGGGAUAACUUCAGGAAAAUGGGGCUAAUACCGGAUAGGAGCUCCUGCUGCAUGGUGGGGGUUGGAAAGUUUCGGCGGUUGGGGAUGGACUCGCGGCGUAUCAGCUUGUUGGUGGGGUAGUGGCUUACCAAGGCUUUGACGGGUAGCCGGCCUGAGAGGGUGACCGGCCACAUUGGGACUGAGAUACGGCCCAGACUCCUACGGGAGGCAGCAGUGGGGAAUAUUGCACAAUGGGUGGAAGCCUGAUGCAGCAACGCCGUGUGCGGGAUGGCGGCCUUCGGGUUGUAAACCGCUUUCGCUCAUGACGAAGCUUUGUGUGACGGUAGUGGGUAAAGAAGCACCGGCUAACUACGUG
rnacentral:rRNA from 1 species